rnacentral:rRNA from 1 species
GCUGGCGGCGUGCCUAAUACAUGCAAGUUGAGCGCUGAAGGUUGGUACUUGUACCAACUGGAUGAGCAGCGAACGGGUGAGUAACGCGUGGGGAAUCUGCCUUUGAGCGGGGGACAACAUUUGGAAACGAAUGCUAAUACCGCAUAAAAACUUUAAACACAAGUUUUAAGUUUGAAAGAUGCAAUUGCAUCACUCAAAGAUGAUCCCGCGUUGUAUUAGCUAGUUGGUGAGGUAAAGGCUCACCAAGGCGAUGAUACAUAGCCGACCUGAGAGGGUGAUCGGCCACAUUGGGACUGAGACACGGCCCAAACUCCUACGGGAGGCAGCAGUAGGGAAUCUUCGGCAAUGGACGAAAGUCUGACCGAGCAACGCCGCGUGAGUGAAGAAGGUUUUCGGAUCGUAAAACUCUGUUGGUAGAGAAGAACGUUGGUGAGAGUGGAAAGCUCAUCAAGUGACGGUAACUACCCAGAAAGGGACGGCUAACUACGUGCCAGCAGCCGCGGUAAUACGUAGGUCCCGAGCGUUGUCCGGAUUUAUUGGGCGUAAAGCGAGCGCAGGUGGUUUAUUAAGUCUGGUGUAAAAGGCAGUGGCUCAACCAUUGUAUGCAUUGGAAACUGGUAGACUUGAGUGCAGGAGAGGAGAGUGGAAUUCCAUGUGUAGCGGUGAAAUGCGUAGAUAUAUGGAGGAACACCGGUGGCGAAAGCGGCUCUCUGGCCUGUAACUGACACUGAGGCUCGAAAGCGUGGGGAGCAAGC